rnacentral:misc_RNA from 1 species
GAUGAAGAACGCAGCGAAAUGCGAUAAGUAAUGUGAAUUGCAGAAUUCAGUGAAUCAUCGAAUCUUUGAACGCACCUUGCGCUCUUUGGUAUUCCGAGAGCAUGCCUGUUUGAGUGUCAUGAAAAUAUCAACCUUGACUUGGGUUUUGUGCUCUAGUCUCGGCUUGGAAUUGGGUGCUUGCCGCUUUUACGAGCGGCUCACCUUAAAUGUAUUAGCUGGAUCUGUCUUUGAGACUUGGUUUGACUUGGCGUAAUAAGUAUUUCGCUAAGGACAUUCUUCGGAGUGGCCUCGUUUCUAGGACGCUUGUCCGCUUUCCAAUACAAGUUCCACCUCGUGGACAUGACUUUUUAUUAUCUGGCCUCAAAUCAGGUAGGACUACCCGCUGAACUUAAGCAUAUCAAUAAGCGGAGGA